GAUGAGCGCUGGCGGUAUGCCUAACACAUGCAAGUCGUACGCCUCACUUCGGUGAGGAGUGGCGGACGGGUGAGUAACACGUUAGUACCUGCCCCAAAGUGGGGAAUAACUGCCCGAAAGGGUAGCUAAUACCCCAUAGUCUCCGGUUUAUCCGGAGUAAAGAUUUAUCGCUUUGGGAGGGGCUUGCGUUUGAUUAGCUAGUUGGUGAGGGUAAUGGCCCACCAAGGCGACGAUCAAUAGCUGGAUCGAGAGGUUGACCAGCCACACUGGGACUGAGAUACGGCCCAGACUCCUACGGGAGGCAGCAGUGAGGAAUCUUCCACAAUGGGCGAAAGCCUGAUGGAGCAAUACCGCGUGCAGGAUGAAGCUUUUCGGAGUGUAAACUGCUUUUCUGAAGGAAGAUUAUGACGGUACUUCAGGAAUAAGGAUUCGGGCUAACUAACGUG
rnacentral:rRNA from 1 species